GAUCAUGGCUCGGGAUGAACACUAGCGACAGGCUUAACACAUGCAAGUCGAGGGGCAGCACAGGGUAGCAAUACUUGGGUGGCGACCGGCGCACGGGUGAGUAACGCGUAUGCAACUUACCUAUCAGAGGGGGAUAGCCCGGCGAAAGUCGGAUUAAUACCCCAUGAAACAGGGGUCCCGCAUGGGAAUAUUUGUUAAAGAUUCAUCGCUGAUAGAUAGGCAUGCGUUCCAUUAGG
rnacentral:rRNA from 1 species